CGGGGCAUGGCUCCCCAGGGACGGUGGAAAUAGCCUGGACCUUGCCUCUCUCUCUCGUGAUUCUCAGGAGACCCAGUGAUAUUGACGCAUCGACUCAAAACAGAGGUCUGCUGGAAACCCUUGUCUGGGUCUCUAUGUUGUCCUGUGGCCAGGAAGUUGUUUGCAGAGCUUUGGCAGAUCACAUCCUUCGUGGAAAAAAAAAAAAAAAAGUCCAACUUCCUCUCAUGGACUUUGAUAACGUAGAUUGUCUCACGUGUAGAAAGAUCUGCCAUUUCCACGUGUGCAGAGUCAGGUAACCGCUGAGUCUUGGUGCUGGGUGCCUGGGUCCACCGCUGGGCACCUUCACAGGCUUUCCUGGCAUGUUCCCUCUGCAGCUUCUGGUGAGAGAUGAGACGGCCACAGCUUUGGGAACCUGCAGCCUCCAGCCAGGGAGGGUGAAUUGCAGACAAAGGCAAGAAUCUGGGCUGCAUAUGUGGUGAUGACGACGAUGACGACAGCAAACAUCUACAUGACUUAUGGCGCUUAAUAUGGGUCAGAUGUUAUUUUAGGUUCUAUAUACAUUAACAUAUUUAAUUCUCACAACGCUCUUGGGAAGAGAGAUUAUGAUUAUCCCUAUUUUACAGGUAAUGAAACUGAAUCAUAGAGGUUAAGUGACUUGCUCAAGGUCACACAGCUCGUUCGUAGCAGAGCCUGUGUUUGAUCCCAGGCAGUCUGUCUCUGGAGUUUGUGUUCUUUAACGUCCAGAACAACUAUGAGUGCUUGUUAUGGGCCAAGUUCUGUUCUAAGUGUUUUACGUGUAUUAACUCAUUUGUCCUGUGC